rnacentral:rRNA from 1 species
CGGGUGAGUAACGCGUGAGGAACCUGCCUCAAAGAGGGGGACAACAGUUGGAAACGACUGCUAAUACCGCAUAAGCCCACGGCUCAGCAUCGAGCAGAGGGAAAAGGAGCAAUCCGCUUUGAGAUGGCCUCGCGUCCGAUUAGCUAGUUGGUGAGGUAACGGCCCACCAAGGCGACGAUCGGUAGCCGGACUGAGAGGUUGAACGGCCACAUUGGGACUGAGACACGGCCCAG